rnacentral:rRNA from 1 species
UAGGGAAUCUUCGGCAAUGGGGGGAACCCUGACCGAGCAACGCCGCGUGAGUGAAGAAGGUUUUCGGAUCGUAAAGCUCUGUUGUUAAGGAAGAACGAGUGUGAGAAUGGAAAGUUCAUACUGUGACGGUACUUAACCAGAAAGGGACGGCUAACUACGUGCCAGCAGCCGCGGUAAUACGUAGGUCCCGAGCGAUGUCAGGAUUUAUUGGGCGUAAAGCGAGCGCAGGCGGUUAGAUAAGUCUGAAGUUAAAGGCAGUGGCUCAACCAUUGUAGGCUUUGGAAACUGUAUAUCUUGAGUGCAGAAGGGGAGAGUGGAAUUCCAUGUGUAGCGGUGAAAUGCGUAGAUAUGUGGAGGAACACCGGUGGCGAAAGCGGCUCUCUGGUCUAUAACUGACGCUGAGGUUCGAAAGCGUGGGGAGCGAACAGG